AUUGAGCUGUACUGGUAAACUGGGUUCAGAUUGAGCUGUACAGGUAAACUAGGUUCAGAUUGAGCUGUACUGGUAAACUAGGUUCAGAUUGAGCUGUACAGGUAAACUAGAGCAGGUAAAAAAUGAUUAAACCCUAAUAUGAUGUCAAAACAUUGUGGUUUAAGCCCUAGAUUAGGGUUUGUAGAGCCUAAAUAAUUCACAAAGAAAUUAUGUAAAGUAACAUAAAAAUUAUAGUUUAGAAAAACAUAACAUUGCCAGGACGAAUCCACGAGGACAAGAGUUAGGUUCCAUCAGAUAAGAGUUAACCUAGCUUGUAGAUAAAGGUGUAUUAUUACUCUUAAAAAUGUAUUUGUAAAAAUGUAUUUCGUUCUUUUAUUUUGUUGUACAGUUAUAUUUUUUUUAUAUAUAUUUUUUCUUAUUUUUAUUUUAUUUUACUUAAAUGAUUUAAAUAUUUUGUUUUCUCUAAAUUAAAUAUAUUCAAAAUCUUCAAUAAUUAAUUUGGAAAGAUAGAGGUUGAAAUAUGGAUGUUAAACAGCUGUACUUUAAGACAUUAUUGCGUUAAUAACAAGCAUUUUAAAAUGUGAGUUAGUAUCAUGUUAUGGGCAAAGGACAUAACAUAUCAUAUUAUGUUAAAUUAUGUUAAAUACCUGCCCAAAUUAUUAGGACUAUAACGAUAUAUUUGUUCUUGUGUUUUGGCACAUAUCUAUCUUCAUAACUCGAGGAAAGAUGUCAGUUGUGCAGAAAAUUUGCAGGAAAUGUGCAGGAAAUGUGCAGAAAAUUUGCAGGAAAUGUGCAGGAAAUGUGCAGAAAAUUUGCAGGAAAUGUGCAGAAAAUUUGCAGGAAAUGUGCAGAAAAUGCAGGAAAUGCAGAUGAGGAUGAGGGUUUUGUUAGUCUUCCAGAUACAGUUUGCUCUUCAUUGACAUCCUCCUGCAGGGUCAUACUACGGGACAGACAGUAUUGUACUGUAGUAGAGGUCUUAGUGAUGGAUAGAGCAGGGAGAGAGAGAGAGAGAGAGAGAGAGAGAGAGAAAAGAUACAGAGAAAUUUGUGAAACGGUGCAGAUGGAUUUUCCCACUCCUUCAUAAUUAAAGUGUUUCAUUUAUUGUUAUAUUAUUUAAUCUUUAUAAUAGCUAGCGACCUCCUGUUGCCAAAAUAAGGUACUGGUUCUGGUCUUGUCUCUCUACUUGGGAGCGAUAGGCAGAAUUAGAAAGAAGCUAAUGUAUUCUCUCUCUCUCUCUCCAUCUCUCCUGCUCCUCUCGUCCAUGUUCCGAUAGAAGUAAACUGGUACUCAUGCUGUAUUCUGUAUCACCGUGGCACCACUACUGUUCUCCGUGCCCAUGUGACGUGUGUAACACGUCCCUGUCCAUGCUAUAUCAACGUGCUAUGGAUGUUAAUAACAAAGUGCUCAUGUGAUCAUA